CUGCCAUCUGCAAGCCAGAAACCUAGGAAAGCUGGUGGUGUAAUUCAACUGAAGUCCAAAGGCAGGAGCUCAUGGUCUGAAUCCCAGUCUGUGGGCAGAAGAAGGUGAGAUGAGAUGUUCUAGCUCAAGCAGUAAGGCAGAAAAGAAACAAACAACAACAACAAAAAAAGUGUCUUCCUCCUUCCUCUGCCUUUUGCUCUGUCCAGAUCCCCAGUGGAUUGGAUGAAGCCCACUUGCAUUGAAGAAAGCAAUCUUAUUUUACUGGGUCCACUGAUUCAGAAGCUGAUCUCAUCUGAAAAUAUCCUCAUAGACACACCUGCAGAUGUUUAAUCUGGGCACCUCUUGGCCCAAGUCAUUUUGACACAAAAAGUUAGCCAUGGCAUGUACUAAAACUGAAAUCAUACUAAGAGUGUAUUCUUUAGUACUCCAUGGAUGUCUUCCUUCAAAGUUUAGCUAUUUAAGAUUUAUGUCAUUAUAUAAACAAUAGAGAAUUACUCUGUUUCUGUUGAUUGUUUUUUUUUUCUUUCAGUGUUAUCACCAGGCCAACUUUAUGGGAAUUUGAAAUACUAAUAACAUCAACAAAUAACAAUACAUGGAGCAGUGAUAUGACAAGAGCCGUAACUCCCAUAGCAGGUAAGUAGCACAUUGUCAGUAAGGAUGUGGAAAUCAAAGUUUAAUUGUCCUGAGGUUUCUCAGAUUCCUUUUCCUUUCCUGGUGAGGGUGGCAAUGUGUGCCCCUGACACAAUGCACUCUAAUUUCCUUCUAUUUCCUUAGCAUAGGCCCUCAAAGCCCCAUUAUUCCAGAUUUUGUGAUAAACAAAUAUUAAAACAAAUAAAAAAUAAAUGAGCUUACAUGGGAUACCUUUCUACCUCAACAUUGCAACCUGCUUCCCCUCAAUUUCCAGUCUUGCUUGCUUUGCUUUAAUAAAAGUUUCCAAAUGGUUCUUCUUUAAAACAUACUUUUGCAACACCAAAAAAGCUAACUGCAUUGAAGAAUGGCUCUGAUGUUGUUCAAUGUGCGCAACACAGAAUUCAAUAAAAACACAUUUGAUUUUAAAGGGAUU
rnacentral:lncRNA from 10 species